AGCGGCCUACGGGACGCAGCAGUGGGGAAUAUUGCACAAUGGGGGAAACCCUGAUGCAGCGACGCCGCGUGAGCGAAGAAGUAUUUCGGUAUGUAAAGCUCUAUCAGCAGGGAAGAAAAUGACGGUACCUGACUAAGAAGCCCCGGCUAAAUACGUGCCAGCAGCCGCGGUAAUACGUAUGGGGCAAGCGUUAUCCGGAUUUACUGGGUGUAAAGGGAGUGCAGGCGGCUUGGCAAGUCUGAUGUGAAAGGCUGGGGCUCAACCCCAGGACUGCAUUGGAAACUGUUUGGCUAGAGUGCAGGAGG
rnacentral:rRNA from 1 species